UGGGUUGGCCAAAAAGUUUGUUUGGGAUUUUCCAUAACAUCUUAUGGAAAAAAAGCAAUCGAACAUUUUGGCCAACCCAAU
rnacentral:miRNA from 1 species